rnacentral:rRNA from 1 species
UACGUAGGGGGCAAGCGUUGUCCGGAAUCAUUGGGCGUAAAGCGCGCGUAGGCGGCCCGGUAAGUCCGUUGUGAAAGUCGAAGGCUCAACCUUUGAACGCCGAUGGAUACUGCCGGGCUAGAGUCCGGAAGAGGCGAGUGGAAUUCCUGGUGUAGCGGUGGAAUGCGCAGAUAUCAGGAGGAACACCGAUGGCGAAGGCAGGUCUCUGGGCAUUAACUGACGCUGAGGAGCGAAAGCAUGGGGAGCGAACAGG